ACAGAAAUGACUGUUUGUUUUUUGGUGUAUAUAUAUUCAGGACAACCUGUCAACUUUUCUCUCUGUGAAUCCUAGUUUUUCUGAGGGUUUCUGCUUGCUGUCUUUCCGCGAAUUCUUUGGGGGGUUUUUGCGCGUAGUUGACUUUGUGGGACUUCAUUUUCAGGAGGCUGUACCGUUUGGUGCUCAAUUCUGGUGAGUUUCGUAAACCCCUGGUGGCAAUUCUAGGGGGUUCUUUGAAUUGGGUUCCGCAGGAUUUAUAGGUAAUUCGAGCUCAUCGGAGCCUGGCGCUGUGUUUCCGAUGGUUUAAGAAAGAGGGUUGUAUUGGGGUCUUGUUUUGUUUGGAUUUGAUUCUGUGGUAUGGGAAAAAGCAAGGUUCUUGUUUUCAUUAUCGGUGAAACUCGAGGGGGGGUUUUAAAGUAGAGGGUUUUGAAAAUAAAUCCUAGUUCUUUGUAUUCAAAAAGACAAUAGAGAAUUCCUUUUUUUUCUUCUUCUUCUUUCGUUUUCUUUUGUUUCUGGGGAGUUCGUGGAUUCUAAGUUUUGAAAGAGGGGAAAUUAACUAAGGUUUGAGGUUGAGGAAUUGGGAAACUAUGAUGGAUGAUGCUUUGUCUGGUUCGAAUUCGCUGCCUCCGUUCCUUACAAAAACGUACGAGAUGGUGGAUGAUCCCUCCACUGAUUUAACCGUGUCGUGGAGCCAGAGCAAUAAGAGCUUUGUCGUGUGGAAUCCGCCUGAUUUUGCGAGGGAUCUGCUGCCGAGGUUCUUUAAGCACAACAACUUCUCCAGCUUCAUCAGACAGCUGAAUACAUAUGGUUUUAGGAAGGUUGAUCCGGACCAAUGGGAAUUUGCGAAUGACGACUUUAUAAGAGGUCAGCCACACCUUUUAAAAAACAUACACAGACGAAAACCUGUCCAUAGCCAUUCAAUGCAGAAUCUGCAAGGACAAGGAAGUGCAUCUCCUUUAAGCGAACCGGAAAGACAGAGCAUGAACGAGGAGAUUGAGAGGCUUAAACGCGAGAGAGAUUGGCUUCUUUUGGAGUUACGGAGGCACGAUGAGGAGCGGCGUGGAUUUGAGCUGCAAAUCCAGCUAUCGAAGGAGCGUUUGCAGCAAGUAGAGCAGCGGCAGCAAAAUUUGAUGUCAUCUGUGGCUGGAUUCUUGCGGAAACCAGGACUUGCCUUGAAUCUCGUGACACAAUUGGAAAAUCACGAGAGAAAGAGAAGAUUGCCAAGAGCAAGUUGCUUCUAUGAUGGAGCCAGCGUUGAAGAUAAUGAGAUGGGGACUUCCCAAAGCGUCCUUAGAGAAAGUGGGGCGAGUACUUCUGAUUCGACAUCGAACAUGGAGCCGUUUGAGCACUUGGAGUCAUUGCUGUUAUUUUGGGAGAAUAUUGUGCAUGAUAUUGAUCAAACUUCCGCAAAACUUAAUUUGAAAGGGGAAUUGGAUGAAUCUCUAAGUUAUGAUGAGAGCCCGGCUAUAUCUUGCUUACAGCUUAAUGUUGACCGUCGGCCUAAAUCUCCUAGAAUUGACAUGAACUCUGAACCUGCUACAGCUGUUGCUCCAGAGUCCAUUGAGCCUGUUGCCUUUAAAGGACAAGCAGCUGGGAAUGCUGCUACCAUGCCCACUGGGGUCAAUGAUGUUUUCUGGGAACAGUUUUUGACUGAGAAUCCUGGUUCAACCGAUGCACAGGAGAUUCGGUCAGAGAGAAAGGAAUUGAUGGCAGAAAGAAUGAAACCAAAUCUGGCAAUCCUGGCAAAUUUUAGUGGAUGAUAAACAAUGACCUUGCAGAGCAGAUGGGAAAUCUUACUCCAGCAGAGAGAACUUGAUAGCUUUUCCGGCUUUUGAUGCCCCAGUGGCACACAUGUAAUAAAUUUAGAAAUUUGACAAUAUGAAGCUGCUAUAGAACGUGCCAUAUGGUACUGCUACAAAGCUGGCCCCGCUGCACUAUGUUAGUACACUUUGGUACCAGACUUCUUGCAUUUGCUGAGCAGUGGAUGCUUUCUUCCCCAUACAACGUGUGCAUAGUGCCUACUUCUCUCCACUUCCAAUUCAUCAUUCGUAGAAAAAGUGAUGUCCAUCAUUGAAUUCAACCAAACCCAUGCCAACUGAAUGGAAACAUGAGCAUAAAGUUCAAGUUAAUCUGUUGAUUGUUUGAUCAGAUGGAUGUGAGGAAUGUGGGGGAGCUUUACGAAGUUGGAUUUUGUGGUUUAUAAUAUGCAAUUUAACCAAUUGAUUUCUUAAUUGCAUGUGCCAGAGUUGGGGCUUGGGGCCAAAAGAUGAAUUGAUUCAGACUUUUGCUGAAAGAUGUACUAAACAUCGAUGGUUUGCUUUCCUGUUGUGCUUUUUGAUAUGUAUUCUUAACAUGGGAGCAUUAAGAAUCCUCUGAAAGUAUUCAGAAAUACUUAAGAAUGGUUGAUCAGCUCAGGCUCGAUACACUUAGUAAGGACGAGGACAUGAGGUGGAUGGUGAAAUCAGAGGCUCGAGAUUUGUGUGUUUAUAACUAACAAAAAAAUAAUACUUUGAGAAUGGAUAUUGGUAUAGAAAAGGUCAUUCCACUCUGUUUAGACCCUUCAUAACUUGGAGAAAUUUUGUUGCCUCAUACAUCAGUUCAUCCAAUGGCCUACCAGAAUGAAGAUGGCAAAAAGAUACUAAACAGGCAUGUAACUUCAACUCAAUACAAUUUCAUUUUGUAUUUCAUCUCCACAAAUGAAUGUUGUAGCUUGAAGUUGCUUACACAGAUUAUUUCUAAAUUCAACAUUUAUUUAUUACAUUUUUAUGCAUUUGAUUUGAAGCUAAAA